GGCAAUAGUAAUCUUUAAGUUUUCGAAACAAUUAUGGCGGCAUAACCUCUAACCUUCGUUUGAAAUUUAGUUGUCGAACUUGUUGACAAGUGAUGUGGAUUUUCUCGUAAAAUUGUUAUUUUUCAAUUGAAUCGAAUAUGUUCAUAGUAACUAAAGAAAUCGAUGGAGAAAAUAUCAGCAAAUUGUGUCGUACGUGUUUGCGAGAGGACGGUGAUAAAAUGGUUUGUUUGUUCGUUGGACCUGCAGGCUCUUCUCUCGCUGCCAAACUGAGAUCAUUAUCGUGUCUAGAAGUUUGGCAAGGAGAUGGAUUACCAGAAAAGAUGUGUGACCGAUGUGUCACCAGAGCAGAAUCUGCCCUUUUGUACAGAGAACAAUGUAGAGCAGCCGAUAGGGCUUUAAGACAAGCUGCUUUAAAGGUCUCUGGUUUAACUUCCUAUGCAACUGUAUCAGGUUGCAAACUGUAUCAGCAGAGUCAAGGUUUUAUGCCAGUACAAAAUUCACACAAAACUUUAAAAUGCAUAGAAUGCGGAGCUGUGUUUAUGAGUUAUCAAGAAUUGUGUGCUCAUAAUAGAUUGCAUUUACCUUUCGUACAAGAAAAUAUCCCUGUAGAACAUAUGCACAUCAUAGAGUCUCAAAAUACAUAUCUUAAUUUCAGUCAUUUAAAUUCUAAUCUCCCUAACGAUGGGAUACAGAAUACUCAAUUGUCACCAUUAAUUACGUCUAAUGUAAUGCAUAUGAUGUCAGUUAAUGAAGAUGGUUCUAGUAGAGCUGCUUGCGCGCUCCAUUGUUCUCUCUGUAAUCAUACAUUUACUAAUAGAACGCAAUUAAUAUGUCAUAAUAUAGCGCAUACUACGGAAAAUAUAGAUAUAUCUUGUGACAAUGACAAUAUUGAUAUUUGCGAAAAUUCUAAUCAACUACCGCAAAAUUUGAGCUACGAAAGAUCUAUGAAUUCUGUCGAUAAUUCGAUUGAAAAUUUAUCUUAUCAAAGACCUAACGUGGAUAAUAAUGAAAUGCAAAAUUUAAACUUUCCGGAUAAUAUUCAUCUCGAUGAUGUUCGAGAAAGUGGUACGCAACGCGUUCAAAAUAUAAUGCAUUCAGAAAAUGAUGUCACAAAUGUGCAUAAUUUACAAUUUACCAAAGCACCAAAUGUUGAAACAGGUAGACAUAUCUUAAAUAACUAUCAAGCUUGUUCAUCCGAUUCUAAUUAUAAGGAAAAACUUGAUACAAAGGAAUUAACUAAUUCGCAUUCAAAAAAAUAUAAAUGUAAAUUAUGCACUAAAGUAUUUAGUCAAAAAUCCAAAUUACUUGCUCAUCAAAUAUCUCACAGCGAUCAAAGACCAUAUAAGUGUCACAGUUGUGAAAAAGCUUAUGCAUCUAAAAGUAAAUUGAAUGCGCAUAUGAGAUUACAUACCAAAAAGAAUGUACAUUUUUGCAAAUUAUGUAACAAAGUAUUUACAUAUCCUUCUUAUCUUGAAGAACAUAUGAAAACUCAUAACAAGGUAUAUAGUGAUUCCAAAAAGGUAUUGCAACUUGAGGGUUUUCAAUGUAAUACAUGCAAGAAACGAUUUAGAUUAAUAAAAAAUUUAAAAGCUCAUGAAAAAUUACAUACUGGAAAAGAUCUUGUUCAAUGCGAGAUAUGCGAUAAACGAUUUAGCCAAAAUUACAAUUUAAAAGUACAUUUACAAAUGCACAAAUCAAUAAAGAUGCAUAAAUGUGAAUAUUGUAACAAAUGUUUCACUCAAAAGGGUAAUUUGGUGGAACAUUUAAGAAUUCAUACGAAGGUAAAACCAUUUGAAUGUAAAUUAUGUGGCAAAACAUUUUCUCAAUCAAGUCAUCUUAAAAAUCACGAGGCUUCGCAUGUUUCCCUGAGACAACAUCAAUGUCGAUUAUGUGGGAAACGUUUUAAAUUGGCAAAUCAUUUGAAGAGACAUUUAAAUCUACAUACAGGAACAAAAGCAUACAAGUGUGAACAAUGCAAUCAAAUGUUUUCUCAAGCUUUUAGUUUAACUAGACAUAUGAAGAGGCACAGUGACUCACACAUUUAAUUAUAAUAUAAAAAGAAAUUUUUAUAAAAUACAUCAAAUAAUAUAAUAUAUGUCAUUCCUUCAAAUAUAUAUGUAAAAUAAUCUUCGUAUUAAAAAUAAUCAUCGUAAAAAAAAAAAAAAAAGAAACAAUUACAACAAUUUUGGUAAUAACUUUGGUAAUUCUUAUUGAUAUAAUGCAAUUAUUUUUCAUUUUUAAUUGUACAACCUAUUUAUAAUUUUUUAGCGUCGUCGUAAGAAUAUGUAUACCUUCUUCAAGUUGAUCUUUGGUAAUAGUCAAUGGUGGUGAUAUUCUGAUAAUCUGUCCAUGUGCUGGUCUUGUUAAUAAACCCGCAUCACGUAAUUUCAAACAAAUAUCCCAACCUGGGGCGAAAUCUACGAAAAAAAAAACACAAAUUAUAAUCGUUUUAAAAUUACAAUAGAUGAUAAGGGUAUACCUUUAUUAAUAAGAAGACCAGCUAACAAACCACGUCCUCUGAAUUCCACAGCAAUAUCUUUUGGUAAUUUACUCAAUUCAUUUUUUAAUACUUCGCCCAAUUUCCUAGCAUUCUCGGCAAGAUUUUCUUCUUCCAAGAUUUUAACUGCUUCCAAAGCAACUCUAUUUCCUAAAGGACUACCGCCGAAAGUGCUACCGUGACAACCCGCUUCAAAACACAUCAUUAUCUGUAAUAAAUUAUUACUGAUAAAUUAUCACGUGUGUGUGCACAUUUUCAUAUAAAGAAGAUCGAAUGAUUUUUCAGGAUACAGAUGUUAGAUGAAAAAAAAAUAUUUUUCUUACGUCUAAGAAAAUCAUUAACAUUUAUAGUCAUUAUGUUAUUUUUCUUAUAAAUUUAAAUACCUCAUCGUUCGCCAAGACACCAGAAACUGGAUACAUCCCACCAGAAAGUGCUUUUCCUAAAAUCAAAAUAUCUGCUUUUUGAUUUUCAUGAUCGAUCGCCAUACGUUUCCCAGUUCGACAUAAUCCAGUCUGCACUUCGUCCGCGAUCCAUAAAACGUUAUAUUUCGUACACAAAUCUCUAACACCUUUUAGAUAUCCAUCCUGUAGAAAGUGAAAUGAUCGAAUAAUCGAAAUUAAACAUUUCAAUAUUUUAGAAUAAUUUUUAAAAUUUUUAUGGAUAGAGAUGAGCUUUUAAAAAUGAUAAUUAUUGGCAACCUAUUCUCGAAAAUAUAAUCAACAUCGAACGUUGUUCGAUAAACAAUUAAAAAUUGAUUUGAUAUAAAUCUGCGAGUUGAAAAAAAAAACUUAAAUAAAAAAUAAGUAAUUCUCGCGUGAUCUAUUAAUCGAAUCAAUUUUGUAUUAUCAUAUUUUAUAUUUAAUGUCAUGUAGACUUUGAGGGGUUGAAGGUGCACACGUUUGUUUCAUAAAAACGAAAUAACAUUUGACGUACGUUCGGAAUAAUGACGCCAGCUUCUCCUUGAAUCGGUUCCAUCAUGAAUGCGCAAACGUUCGGAUCUUCUUUAAAUUUUGUUUCGAGAGCGGUUAAAUCAUUGUACGGUACUUUAUCGAAUAGUGGCAUGUACGGACCAAAAUCAUUAUAACAAUUAGGAUCGGUCGAUGACGAUAAUGCUGCUAACGAUCUUCCCCAGAAGUUACCUUUAGCAAACACAAUCGUUGCCUUCUGGCUUGGUAUUUUUUUUAUUCUAUAUCCCCAACGUCUGGCCAAUUUUAUAGCCGUAUCUCCACCUUCAACUCCUAAUAAAUAUUUAAAAAUGUUACAUUAAAAAGAUUCCAAUGUAACGUUGCAACAAAUCUCGCUUGAAUUAAUAUAGUUUUAUAUUAAAUAAUUAAUUAAUAUUAUGAUAAUAUAAUUUUUAUAAAAAAAGACAAUCAUUUUUGUUACCUGUAUUCAUAGGUAUGAAUCUAUCGUAGCCAAUUAAUUUCGUUAAAUAUUCUCCUAAUUCACCGUGCGGUUCCGUAUAAAAAGCUCUUGCAGUGUGAGUCAAUUUUUCUGCCUGUUCCUUCAUGACUUUGACCAAACGUGGAUGACAAUGACCUUGACUGACGGUCGAGAAACCAGCUAAAAAGUCGAGAUAACGUUUCCCAUUAUUGUCCCAUAAAAAAACCCCAUCACCUUUGGUUAAUACCACAGGUAGAGCCUUGAAGUGUCUUGCAGCGUAUUUAUCAUCUCGCUCAAUUAUUUCCUGGGUGCUCAGAUACUUUUUUUUUUGAUCGUACAUCUUCUUCGUUACAUUAAGAAUUCUUUGUCUAAGAGAUUGCAUUUUUUUUCUUUUUCUUUUUCUUUCUUUUUUUUUUUUCAACACAUAUAUAAUCGAAUACCAAUAUGAUAAAUUAUUGUAACCUUGGUCUCAAUUAUUAAAAGUAUAUUAAUAUUAAUGAAAAGUAAUUAGAGGGAAUAUAUAUAUAUAUACAUAUAUAUUAACUAGAAAUACAGCGAGAUACUUUCUAACGAAACACGUAAAAUGUACCAUCAUUUAUAGCAAUGUGGACGAUAUAAGAGGGGGAAACUUAUUUACUCCUAACUUGUUUGUAUACAAAGUUGUGCAAAGGGGAUUUAAAAUAAAUACCACAUCGAUGUACGUAUGGAUUCAAAAGUCGCUGAUAAUGGGCCUUUGUGUUUAUUAAGGCGCCAAUGUUCUAAAGUAAACUCAUAAUUACAAACAAUAUAAUCUUAUACGUUAAAAUCGUUCAAUGUCACAAUUGAUAAAUAAGAACUGUAUAAUAUAUUUUAAAUGACCGAUCGAUCAUUUAAAUGAGUUUAUCUCGAUCGAAUAAAAAGAAAAAAAAAAAAGAAAAAAUGAAAAGAAAAAAAAAAAAGAGGAAAUAAAGCAUUAAG